rnacentral:lncRNA from 1 species
UUGAAUCAAACAGUAGUCACCUGCUCAGUCUUCAAAAUUUUUCCACAAAUUGAGAUCCUAUUACCAUAUCUAUUCAACCUAGUCCAAAGUUAUUUUUUAAAAUAAUUUUCCAUAGUUGUUAAAUGAUUCUUUAUUGCCAUCCAUCAUUCAACUUACUCACUCUCAUUCAAUUUACAUUCCCCUAAAAUUUGUAUUCAAAGGUUUAUUCUAUUUUUAUUUAUACAGUUAUUUUAAUAUUGUUUUCCAAUAUGUGUACCUUAAUUCUUCCCUAGAUGAUGAGCUGGCUUAUACAGACUUGAGAUCCUAUAU